CUGAUCCAGAAGGACAGAGUUUCAAACCAAACUCUGAUAUCAAGUUUACCGUUCUGAUCUCAAGUUUCCACCGCUCUCUCGCAAUCUCUAGACCUUUCCUGAACCCUCUAUUUGCAGCCUACAUAUACUACUCUCUAAUUCCAUGUCAAGAAGAACGAAGCAGAAAAAGAAAGGGUGUUGUAUUUUUUAAUUUUAGGGUUCUGGGUUGUAGUAAUAAUGGCUAAAGACGGACCCAACUGGGAGGGAUUGCUCAAAUGGAGCCUCGCUCACGCCGAUGGUACUCAGCCCUCUCGUUAUUUGAGUGAGGAGGAUCGAAGAUGGUUCAUGGAGGCAUAGCGAAAAUCUCUGAGAAGUCAAAUUC